AAAAAACCUAGGAAGAGGCUAGUAACAUAAUAUCAUAUUAAAGAGAGCUAGUGCAUGGUGUAAACUAGUAUAUGUUAUUUUGUGAAUCCACCUCUGAGGAGAUUGCGAUGAGCAGUACGGUACCGUAUCGUUAACGGUUUGAGAGGAUCAAAUUUGAUCAAUUAGGGUGGCAACGCGGAAACCUUUCGUCCCUUUA
rnacentral:ncRNA from 1 species